GACUAGUUUAUCCCAUGUUUGGUGUGAGGUAUUAGUUAGUACUGGGAUAAAUUAUCCCAUAUAUAUGAUGGGAUAAAUUAUCCCACCGAUCAAACGGGCCCCUACUCUUUGGAUAAUCUACCAUUUAUUUUUAAAAAUUUCUCCUUCCUUGUUUAUUAGCUCGUUUCAGUUCAUUGAUAUAUUAUCAUUGCAGGACUUGUUCAAUCAACUUGAGGAAUCGCGACUUUCGGAAAAAUGAAAUCUAUAAUCCACAAUGAGGUAUAUUUUGCCUAUUCCUUGUAAGAAAAUUGCAUCAAGCUUGGAAAGCAACAACAACAGAAAAAAGAAUUGAAGAAGAUUUUCAAACACAGUUCUUUUUCAUUAAGCAGCUUUAUUCGUUGAUCUUGAAGGGGAGCGUUGGAGUAACUGGUAAAGUCGUCACCAUGUGAACAGGAGUUCAUGGGUUCAUGCAUUGGAAACAGUCUUUGGUGGAAAUGCCAGGGAAGACUGCAUACAAUACACCCUUGUGAUGGGGCCCUUCCCCGAACCCUAUGCAUAGCAAGAGCUUCAAUGCACCGGGCUGCUUUUUUUUUUUUUUUUAAAUUCGUUAAUCUUCGAUGUUUUAACAACAUGGCAUUUAAUAGAUAAUACUAAUGAUUGAUGAAUGUGACUUCUUUCGCAUCGUCCAUUAAUUAGGAUCCAGUUUUGUAGGAUUCAUAUUUAGCUAUAGACACAUGGGUUGGUCAGUAAUUGUAAUACCUAAAAUGUCUAAAAGCUCUAAUAUUUCUUUUUUAUUUGCUUUCAGUUAGGUUUUCUUUGAGUAAGGAGGUUGCGAUUUUCAAGUUGUACAACCAUCGAUUUUGGCUUGGUUGAGAUAUAUGAAGCAUGACUUGCUGCAAAUGGAGCAUACGACUCUAAUGGAACCCAAAGGUACUCUGGAGUGUGUCUGAUCACAAGAUGUGGUGUACAAAGGACAAAAGGCUACGCGCUUGAUCAUUGGUACCCUUGCUUACUAAAACUCAUCCUUCUCGGUGCUGCCAGUCGCUGCGUAGCAUUUUUGUUAUUGAUAACUUUCCAGAAAAAAUAAGACUUCAUUGUUGCUGUCUUGCUUCAUCACUUGGUAUACAAGGAAGAAAGCCAGUUUACAGUCUCAAUACCAUGACGAAAAUGUUGGGAAGACUCAAAAAGUUGGGUCCCUUGUGAAGAUUAUGGUACAUAACCUUGAUAUGAUUCAUGCCAAAAAUGUAAUUUACUCGAAACGGAUGGUAUGUAGCAGCAGGAGUCAAUUAAAAAAGGUUAUAUGAUUCUUUCUUCUUUAGAUGGAAAAUCAAAUGUAACAUGUGUUAACAGCAGUUUCUCUUGGAGAAUGAUUCUACCUGGUUCCUGAGCCUCAUUUUGUAGCCUUGAACCUCAAGAGAAAUAACUGAAAAUGUUCGUCCCGUCUUCGUGAAGGUGACAAGGAUAUGACUGAGAGUACACCACAGAAAUUGGAGGUUAUACCCAAAAGUUGAUAAAGAUGAGGAUAUUAACAUCAAAUUAUGUGAUAACAGCAUAAAUUCAGUUUUGAGUAGACAGUACAUCUUUUCUGUUCACAAAAUUCUGCUGUUUUUUUUUCUUUUUCUUUUUGAUUGGUAACAUUGAAGGGGAGUCUUGGAUUAGCUAGUAAUGUUGUUGCCA